AAUUUGGAUGAAUGUAAUGAACUUUUAGGUUGUUACGAGACACAGCUGGAGCAACUAAAGAAAAGCAAUGCAGAGGAAAUACAAGAACUUAGAAUCACGUUGGCAGAAACCCAUAAAGAAGAGGUUGAGAGGUUGGUACUCGCUCAUCAGGAAGAACUGAGAACCUUGAGAGCUAAUCACGAAAAAGAGGUUCAAGACUUAAAGAAUAUUCAUGUCAAAUCAAUCAAAGAUGCCCAAAUCAGAAAUAAUUCAUCAGUGGAUUCCUUGAAAGAACAACACAAUCGACUCAUUAAAGACCUGGAAAGAGAUUUUGUCAACCAACUUCAGCAAACUUUGGAAGGUCACAAGAAAGUUCAGGCCUCGUUAAAACAGCAAUUGAAAGAGCUGAGUAAACA